AUUGAACGCUGGCGGCAUGCUUUACACAUGCAAGUCGAACGGUAACAGGUUAAGCUGACGAGUGGCGAACGGGUGAGUAAUGCAUCGGAACGUGCCCAGUCGUGGGAGAUAGCGCAGCGAAAGCUGUGCUAAUACCGCAUACGAUCUAUGGAUGAAAGCGGGGGACCGUAAGGCCUCGCGCGAUUGGAGCGGCCGAUGUCAGAUUAGCUAGUUGGUGGGGUAAAGGCCCACCAAGGCGACGAUCUGUAGCUGGUCUGAGAGGACGACCAGCCACACUGGAACUGAGACACGGUCCAGACUCCUACGGGAGGCAGCAGUGGGGAAUUUUGGACAAUGGGCGAAAGCCUGAUCCAGCCAUGCCGCGUGAGUGAAGAAGGCCUCGG
rnacentral:rRNA from 1 species